UGCAUCGGCCGGGAAUUGAACCCGGGCCGGCCGCGUGGCAGGCGAGUAUCUACCACUGAACGAACCGAUGG
rnacentral:tRNA from 1 species